AGUGAACGCUGGCGGCAGGCCUAACACAUGCAAGUCGAGCGGCAGCGGGUUCCCGCGAGGGGAUGCCGGCGAGCGGCGGACGGGUGAGGAACACAUCGGAAUCUGCCUGGUUGUGGGGGAUAACGUAGGGAAACUUACGCUAAUACCGCAUGAGACCCUGAGUCGACGGACUGGGGGUGAAAGUGAGGGACCUUCGGGCCUCACGCGACCAGAUGAGCCGAUGUCGGAUAGCUAGUUGGCGGGGUAACGGCCCGCCAAGGCGACGAUCCGUAGCUGGUCUGAGAGGAUGAUCAGCCACACUGGGACUGAGACACGGCCCAGACUCCUACGGGAGGCAGCAGU
rnacentral:rRNA from 1 species